UUGGAGGGCAAGUCUGGUGCCAGCAGCCGCGGUAAUUCCAGCUCCAAUAGCGUAUAUUAAAGUUGUUGCAGUUAAAAAGCUCGUAGUUGAAUUUCGGGAUCAAUGUUUCGGUCAUGCCGUUGGUAUGUACUGAUAUUAUUGGUUUCUCACCUUCUAAAGAACCGUAAUGCCAUUAAUUUGGUGUCACGGGGAAUUAGGACUGUUACCUUGAAAAAAUUAGAGUGUUUAAAGCAGGCUCACGCUUGAAUACAUUAGCACGGAAUAAUGAAAUAGGACAUCCGAUUCUAUUUUGUUGGUUUCUAGGAUCGAUGUAAUGAUUAGUAGGGAUAGUUGGGGGCAUUAGUAUUCAAUUGUCAGAGGUGAAAUUCUUGGAUUUAUUGAAGACUAACUACUGCGAAAGCAUUUGCCAAGGAUGUUUUCAUUAAUCAAGAACGGAAGUUAGGGGGAUCGAAGACGAUCAGAUACCGUCGUAGUCUUAACCAUAAACUAUGCCGACUAGGGAUCGGAUGAUGUUAAUUUUUUAAUGACUCAUUCGGCGCCUUACGGGAAACCAAAGUGUUUGGGUUC
rnacentral:rRNA from 1 species